AAAAAGUUAGCGGCUUCUCACUUUUCCCUGCAAAAAAGCCACUCACAUUUUCCUCAUCAAUGGCUGCUGCAAGCUUUUCAGAGACAUAGAGAGGUUAAAGUCGAAAACAAGCAAAACUCUAUCAAUGCCACUUUCAUCAUCAACCUCUCUGUUAUUCCCUCAAAAGAAAAAAAAAAAAAAAAAACUUUUAUUGUUUUUUACAAAUGGGUUUAUGAUAAUAACUCGUAAAUUCCAUUCUUUAUUCAUUUUUCCAAAUGGGGUUUCUACUUUUUAGGUAUUUGUUGGGAGUUUCAUGAUUUUAAGGAAUUUGCAAGCGGUUGUCAACAAAUUCAACAAACACAUUUAAUAUCAGCCUCUAAUAUCAGCAAGAGUUAUAAAU
rnacentral:lncRNA from 1 species